CAGAGCGCUGGAACCAAGCGGAGCUGAGGCUGCCUUCUGCGCGCGCCCGACUCCGCUCCCCCCCCACCUCCGGGAGGUGGGGGCUAGGCGGCAUCCCCCGCCCCCUCCCCACCGUGAUCAGAAAGAUGAACUGGCAAGAGGUCUGCUUUGCCUGAACCUAUCAGCUGGGAGAUUAAUCGACCACACUGAAAUAUGCCUGGAUGGGAGGAAAACUUGUGAGGGAGGGGUUAGAAUGUAGAUGUUUGAACCAAAUGUGUAUAAAUAAAUUGUUGAUAACUUAGUUAAAAACCUGGAGACUGGUGGCUAGUUAAAGAAACUCUACAUUACUCAUUUCUAGAGCUGGGUAUUUCUGUAGGCACUUUUGUCUCCACUUUCAAAAGCUUGCACUUUAGCCUGCCAUCGGCUGCUCCAUUCUGUUAUUGCUAAUUUAAACCUACAGCUUGAGCCUAUACUGGAAGCCAAAUCCAUUCCCUUAAAAAUUAAAACAAAACAAAAAAAAAAAACACUUGUCAAGAAGCCCUAGCCAUUUUCUGGCUGCCUUCUUUGUUGCUGUCUGUUGAAGACUUUGAACAUGACACCUUAAUAAAUAUAUUAAAAUUGAAAAGAA